rnacentral:lncRNA from 1 species
GGUCUCAAACUCCUGACCUCGUGACUCGCCCACCUCAGCCUCCCAAAGUGUCCCUGGCCAGGACAAAUACAACUCUACUUUUCUCAAUAGGAGGUAAACUUGUGUGACAAGCAAUCAAGAAAAGUAGUACAAACUGAAAAUAUACAUGAAUUCAAGAUGGCUUUAAUUCCAGAGGUCACAGAACCAUAGCUGGUUAGGAAGAGAUGGCUACAUGCAAGAGGCCUGGGGCCUAUGCAUGGCCUUUCACAGUUGACCUCCAGGUGAACUAACCUAGAGCCCUUCUUCUAGAGCCAUGGCCAAGAGGGAGAUGAGGACAUGGAAAGUAGAGCGAGACUCACCAAAAGGCCACCUGCAUUGAAGAAGGGGAGAGAUGAUGAUCAUGGUGGGCAGUAUUAAGGGCUGGUUCAUGUACAGAAAUCUCCAGCCUUUUCUAAAAGCAAUUGAAGUGCCACUUCCUUCUCCCUGCGCUGGCUGCCUCCUGGAGUCCUUCCUUGGACAUCAGCUAUAAGGGCCUCUCCAGCACAAAGCUUAGGGCUCUAUCCACAGGAAAGUAAUGCUACCCACAAACCAUCCCUCAGCAACAGUCUCAGCCCGGAGGAACCCAGAGGCAGCCAUAGCCUUUCUUUUGUUCCGAUGAACUAGUUUGCACUACAAAUGCAGAUGGGGAAACAGGAAAAGCAAGGCUUCCAAAGUCUACUGACAUAAGAACCUGGAAUCCUACCCAUAGUCUCUGUUCUGUCCUCUCCCUAAAGUAUAUCUCUCUCUCAAGGGAGUCAUUUGAAAAUGGAGAAAGUCCCCCAGAAUACCCCAGGCCUAUAACGAUCACAGCCACGGAUGGGGACAAUCUGCCUUCUGAAGGAAGCAGGCAAAGCCCUCAAUUCUUAAGGGUCCUUUCUCAGCACAGUUUACUUAGUGACAAUUUCCAAGUGAUUUAUUGCAGAUUCAUAAACAAUGGAGGCUGAUGUGUUGUAUCUUUUCUUCAGGGAGGCGAGAUGGGGAGAGAGGAAGGGGCCAUGAGGUUAAGUUACAAGUCCAAAGUUACUGUGUUGAUGACACCUUGCACUUAGGAGAACUUCCCUGAAACUGCAAAGUGUUUACUGAGUAGGGCACUGUUUUCUGCAAUUAUCUUUAAGGAUGGGCGUUUUCAAAUAAUCAACACUGGGGACACGGGAGGUGAACUCUAAGCUCUUAAAUGAGAACCGUUAACAGUUAUACAUUUUUCCAUCUCCCAUCCCAAAAUGACUACUGCAGCCUCCUCCCCUCCUCUUCCCCCAGAGCCCAGAAACGUGAAGAACAGCAGAAAACCUUUCCCUCGCCCAGUGAGUCAGCCUUGCCUAAGUUCAUGCGUAAGCUCUCCUCAAGUCAGCGGCAGCUCAGAGCUGCGGGUCUGUGUGCAGCCGAGAUAAAUUUGGGUCUAGAAGGGAUGACGUAAUGCUAAACCCGAGAGGUAGCUGCCGCCUCCCAGGGCUCCUGUCGCCAGGGCUGCCGGCUGACAUCCCAACCACACGGAAACGCACCAAGCGACUCAGACAUCUGCAUUGCAGGACUCAAUUAACAUGCACAUCUAAGCGGCUUGCUUACUUUGGAGCACCCCACUUGGGGUGACACCAGGGUGCUACUGAUAAGGUAUUUGGGAGGAUUUUGCUAGGGCCAUGCCAAGUGAAUAUUUCCCCAAAUAACAUUUCAAGGUUUAUGUCAUAGAAGUUUGUGUCAUUAAGCUUGUUUCUCAAUACAGUCCCCAUUUUUCACUUGAGAAAGCUGAGGCUCAGAGAGGUAUGGUAACUUGCCCAAGGCCAACAGCUGUCUAUCAAACUGAUGGAAUAAGGGUUAGAACUCAGGCUUUUUUAAACCCGUGGGGCCCAUUCCUUUAAAUAUCAAGACGAAGUUGCAUUCCCAAAGGAUCCAAAUGCUGUUUUUUUCUGUUUAUGGUUCAUUCUUCCCCAAGGAAAGGUUGCCAUCAGAGUCAACUCCUUCACUCCUGGUGAUGACCGCAAACCUUGGGCCCAACCUCACCCUUCCACUAUAAUUAAAAGACCACCACAGGAAACAAUCUUUGUUGUGCCGAAGUAGUUUUCUUCAUUAGAAAUGCCUCCCAAAUACUUUUCAACAUUUGUUAGUGUAAACACAUUUUAUUCUUUAAUUUGUGCCUGUAAUCAUUUAUGCUGGUAGAUUUUGUGACUUUCAGCAAUAUCUGGCAAAUAACCUGGUCAGCCACGGUGUGUUAUUGUUUUGAAGCACUGUUCAGUUCCAAGAGUUGAUAUUUUUGUUUAGGAUUUCUGCAUCUAUAUUUGAAAGCAAAAGUAAACUGUAUUUUUUGUUGUGUUUCCUA